rnacentral:lncRNA from 1 species
GGGUUUUGUGGACCAACCUAUUUGAGGGGCACGGAAUCCGAUUAUAUUCAUACCUUGGUCGAAGAGGCACGUAAGCUAUCUCCUGACGUAUGGUUAAAGUUCACAUCACGCCUAACCACCUCGUGAUGAUGAACUUCGCUAACGUCAAAGAAUGGUUGUGUUUUCAAAAUGAAAUAAAAAUAUGUUUUACGUGUAUAUAAAAUUUUUAACAGCCUUGGCGGGCUUGAGUGUAUGCCUCUGAUCAAGGUGUCAUCGAGUACUAUUUGAUGGCAUGAGCCAAAUGUUUAUGAAAGUCAUAAGCUUUAAUGAGAAAUUAAAUGAAAUACAACCGUUUGCAUGGG